ACGGAAGGCAGCAGUGGGGAAUAUUGGACAAUGGGGGAAACCCUGAUCCAGCGACGCCGCGUGAGUGAAGAAGUAUUUCGGUAUGUAAAGCUCUAUCAGCAAGGAAGAAAAUGACGGUACUUGACUAAGAAGCCCCGGCUAACUACGUGCCAGCAGCCGCGGUAAUACGUAGGGGGCAAGCGUUAUCCGGAUUUACUGGGUGUAAAGGGAGCGUAGACGGUAUGGCAAGUCUGAAGUGAAAUGCAUGGGCUCAACCCAUGAACUGCUUUGGAAACUGUCAAACUAGAGUGCAGGAGAGGUAAGUGGAAUUCCUAGUGUAGCGGUGAAAUGCGUAGAUAUUAGGAGGAACACCGGUGGCGAAGGCGGCUUACUGGACUGUAACUGACGUUGAGGCUCGAAAGCGUGGGGAGCGAACAGGAUUAGAUACCCUGGUA
rnacentral:rRNA from 1 species